GACGAACGCUGGCGGCGUGCUUAACACAUGCAAGUCGAACGGAAAGGCCUGCUUUCCCUUGUGGAUUGCGGGUACUCGAGUGGCGAACGGGUGAGUAACACGUGAGUGAUCUGCCCCCAACUUGGGUAUAAGCCUGGGAAACUGGGUCUAAUUCCCGAUAGGACUGCAGGGUGGUGCCUGUGGUGGAAAACGAUUUUCUAGUGGUUGGGGAUGAGCUCGCGGCCUAUCAGCUUGUUGGUGGGGUAAUGGCCUACCAAGGCGGCGACGGGUAGCCGGCCUGGGAGGGUGGACGGCCACAUUGGGACUGAGAGACGGCCCAGACUCCUACGGGAGGCAGCAGUGGGGAAUAUUGCACAAUGGGCGGAAGCCUGAUGCAGCGACGCCGCGUGGGGGAUGACGGCCUUCGGGUUGUAAACUCCUUUCGACCGCGAGGAAGCCACCUGGUUGGAAGGGUGGUGACGGUAGUGGUAGAAGAAGCACCGGCUAACUACGUG
rnacentral:rRNA from 1 species